rnacentral:rRNA from 1 species
CAUAGGUUAAUGAGGCGAACCGGGGGAACUGAAACAUCUAAGUACCCCGAGGAAAAGAAAUCAACCGAGAUUCCCCCAGUAGCGGCGAGCGAACGGGGAGGAGCCCAGAGCCUGAAUCAGUGUGUGUGUUAGUGGAAGCGUCUGGAAAGGCGCGCGAUACAGGGUGACAGCCCCGUACACAAAAAUGCACAUGCUGUGAGCUCGAUGAGUAGGGCGGGACACGUGGUAUCCUGUCUGAAUAUGGGGGGACCAUCCUCCAAGGCUAAAUACUCCUGACUGACCGAUAGUGAACCAGUACCGUGAGGGAAAGGCGAAAAGAACCCCGGCGAGGGGAGUGAAAAAGAACCUGAAACCGUGUACGUACAAGCAGUGGGAGCACGCUUAGGCGUGUGACUGCGUACCUUUUGUAUAAUGGGUCAGCGACUUAUAUUCUGUAGCAAGGUUAACCGAAUAGGGGAGCCGAAGGGAAACCGAGUCUUAACUGGGCGUUAAGUUGCAGGGUAUAGACCCGAAACCCGGUGAUCUAGCCAUGGGCAGGUUGAAGGUUGGGUAACACUAACUGGAGGACCGAACCGACUAAUGUUGAAAAAUUAGCGGAUGACUUGUGGCUGGGGGUGAAAGGCCAAUCAAACCGGGAGAUAGCUGGUUCUCCCCGAAAGCUAUUUAGGUAGCGCCUCGUGAAUUCAUCUCCGGGGGUAG